rnacentral:rRNA from 1 species
GAUAAACGCUGGCGGCGUGCAUGAGACAUGCAAGUCGAACGAAGGAUCGGGCUUGCUCGAUCCUUAGUGGCGGACGGCUGAGUAACGCGUAGGUGACCUACCCCGAAGUGGGGAAUAACUGCCCGAAAGGGUGGCUAAUACCGCAUGUGGUCGCACGUUCAUUCGUGCGAGUAAAGCCGCAAGGCGCUUCGGGAGGGGCCUGCGUCCGCUUAGCUCGUUGGUGGGGUAAUGGCUUACCAAGGCGACGAUCGGUAGGUGGUCUGAGAGGACGAUCACCCAGACUGGGACUGGGACACGGCCCAGACUCCUACGAGAAGCAGCAAUCGGUAAUUUUGCUCAAUGGGGGAAACCCUGAAGCAGCAACGCCGCGUGAGGGAUGAAGGCCUUCGGGUUGUAAUCCUCUUUUGUCAGGGACGAUGAUGACGGUACCUGGCGAAUAAGCCACGGCUAACUACGUG